rnacentral:rRNA from 1 species
UGGGGAAUCUUCCGCAAUGGACGAAAGUCUGACGGAGCAACGCCGCGUGAGUGAAGAAGGUUUUCGGAUCGUAAAACUCUGUCUUUUGGGGCGAACGUGAGUAUGGUGAACAAUCAUAGUCAGUGACGGUACCAAAGGAGGAAGCCACGGCUAACUACGUGCCAGCAGCCGCGGUAAUACGUAGGUGGCAAGCGUUGUCCGGAAUUAUUGGGCGUAAAGAGCGCGUAGGCGGGAUAGUCAGUCUGUUGUAAAAGUGCGGGGCUCAACCCCGUGAUGGCAAUGGAAACAGCUAUUCUUGAGUGCAGGAGAGGAAAGUGGAAUUCCCAGUGUAGCGGUGAAAUGCGUAGAUAUUGGGAGGAACACCAGUGGCGAAGGCGACUUUCUGGACUGUGUCUGACGCUGAGGCGCGAAAGCCAGGGGAGCGAACGGGAUUAGAUACCCCGGUAGUCCUGGCCGUAAACGAUGGGUACUAGGUGUGGGAGGUAUCGGCCCCUUCCGUGCCGGAGUUAACGCAAUAAGUACCCCGCCUGGGGAGUACGGUCGCAAGACUGAAACUCAAAGGAAUUGACGGGGUCAUAGCUGUUUCCUG